rnacentral:rRNA from 1 species
CAGCAGCCGCGGGAAUACGUAGGGUGCGAGCGUUAAUCGGAAUUACUGGGCGUAAAGCGUGCGCAGGCGGUUCGUUAAGACAGAUGUGAAAUCCCCGGGCUUAACCUGGGAACUGCAUUUGUGACUGGCGAGCUAGAGUAUGGCAGAGGGGGGUAGAAUUCCACGUGUAGCAGUGAAAUGCGUAGAGAUGUGGAGGAAUACCGAUGGCGAAGGCAGCCCCCUGGGCCAAUACUGACGCUCAUGCACGAAAGCGUGGGGAGCAAACAGGAUUAGAUACCCCAGUAGUCCCUGUCUUUAUACA